AAUAAACUUAAGCAAGAUUAAAUUUUAUCAGUAUUUUCCAACAGUAGAUAAUUGAUUACAGGUAUGAAAUAUGAAUGCUGCGUAAAUAUGCAGCCCCUCAAUGUCAUCUUGCUGUUCUGUCUUUUGAAUGCCAAGGCAGCCUUAGUUAGCAUCUGCUGUGCUGCACAGAUGCUCUUCUGGGAAGAGACAAGGUCUCCCGAGGUUGCCCCUGCUGGUCUUGAACUCUUGGAUUCAAGCAUUCUUCCUGUCUUGGCCACCCAAAGGGCUAGGAUUACAGUAAAAACAAAAUCAACGGCCAAAUGACUCAACUGCGAUUGUGCCAGUGAGAACCUCAGGAGCCUAGCAGAAGAUAACGCUGGGAAGGGUUCAAGGAGCUAAGCCGAGAUUUUUGGCUGCCCACCACAGGUAAGAGAAAUUUUGGAGUUGAAAUCUAGCCAAGUUAGAAGGGCUUGGUAAACACUUUAGGCUUUCCAUUGAAUUAGGAAUAGAGACUACAUGCAUCAAAAGAGCAUCAAGACUAAAACAUAGACUUGUCUUGACAAGGAAAAACCAGACCUCCCCCAGUUAAAAGCAAUCUAUCUGUAAUUUAACUGCCUGCUAGAACAAGACUCACCACUUUUCGGAGGAAGAUCGAGAGUCUCUGCAAUCUAUUACUCAAAGCAUAACAAAAAAAAUUACUAGACAUGUGAUGAAAUGGGAAAAUGUGACUUAUACUAAA
rnacentral:sRNA from 1 species